AAGUCGUAACAAGGUUUCCGUAGGUGAACCUGCGGAAGGAUCAUUCGCGAGGGAGCGGCGAGCGAGCGUAGCGAGUAAGCCGCGACCGAGAGUAGUGCUUGACGUGUAACAUUGAAUAUGAAAAUAAAGAAAACAAAAACAAACAAAAAACUAUGAACAACGGAUCUCUAGGCUCUU
rnacentral:misc_RNA from 1 species